AAUGAACGUUGGCGGCGUGGAUUAGGCAUGCAAGUCGAGCGCGAAUCGUAGCAAUACGAGGAGAGCGGCGAAAGGGAGAGGAAAGCAUAGGUACCUACCCUCGGAACGGGGAUAGCUAUGGGAAACUAUAGGUAAUACCCGAUAACGUCUCCGGACCAAAGGUGUGAUUCCGUCCGGGGAGGGGCCUGUGUCCUAUUAGCUUGUUGGUGAGGUAACGGCUCACCAAGGCCAAGAUGGGUACGAGGCGUGAGAGCGUGUCCUCGCUCACUGGGACUGAGACACUGCCCAGACACCUACGGGUGGCUGCAGUCGAGAAUCUUCGGCAAUGGGCGCAAGCCUGACCGAGCGACGCCGCGUGCGGGAUGAAGGCCUUCGGGUUGUAAACCGCUGUCAGUGCGGAGGAGAUAUAGUGGGGUUCUCCCCAUUAUUUGACCUAUGCGCAGAGGAAGGACGGGCUAAGUUCGUGCCAGCCGCCGCGGUAAAAC
rnacentral:rRNA from 1 species